GAUGAACGAUGGCGGCGUGCCUAAUACAUGCAAGUCGAGCGAAGCGAGGACGGGUGAGUAACACGUAGAUAACCUCCUAUAAGCAUCGGAUAACUGCGGGAAACCGGAGCUAAACCGGAUCCCUAUGGAUGGAUCCGCGUUGCCUUAGCUAGUUGGUAAGGUAACGGCUUACCAAGGCAACGAUGCAUAGCCGACCUGAAAGUGUGAUCGGCCACACUGGAAAUGAGACACGGUCCAGACUCCUACGGGAGGCAGCAGUAGGGAAUCUUCCGCAAUGGGCGAAAGCCUGACGGAGCAACGCCGCGUGAGUGAUGAAGGUCUUCGGAUCGUAAAACUCUGUUAUUAGGGAAGCGGUACCUAAUCAGAAAGCCACGGCUAACUACGUGCCAGCAGCCGCGGUAAUUC
rnacentral:rRNA from 1 species